rnacentral:rRNA from 1 species
UGGGGAAUUUUGGACAAUGGGCGAAAGCCUGAUCCAGCAAUGCCGCGUGUGUGAAGAAGGCCUUCGGGUUGUAAAGCACUUUUGUCCGGAAAGAAAUCCUUGGCUCUAAUACAGUCGGGGGAUGACGGUACCGGAAGAAUAAGCACCGGCUAACUACGUGCCAGCAGCCGCGGUAAUACGUAGGGUGCAAGCGUUAAUCGGAAUUACUGGGCGUAAAGCGUGCGCAGGCGGUUUGCUAAGACCGAUGUGAAAUCCCCGGGCUCAACCUGGGAACUGCAUUGGUGACUGGCAGGCUAGAGUAUGGCAGAGGGGGGUAGAAUUCCACGUGUAGCAGUGAAAUGCGUAGAGAUGUGGAGGAAUACCGAUGGCGAAGGCAGCCCCCUGGGCCAAUACUGACGCUCAUGCACGAAAGCGUGGGGAGCAAACAGGAUUAGAUACCCUGGUAGUCCAUGCCCUAAACGAUGUCAACUAGUUGUUGGGGAUUCAUUUCCUUAGUAACGUAGCUAACGCGUGAAGUUGACCGCCUGGGGAGUACGGUCGCAAGAUUAAAACUCAAAUUGAAUUGACGGGGUCAUAGCUG